rnacentral:rRNA from 1 species
GAUGAGUGCUAGUGUUAGGGGGUUUCCGCCCCUUAGUGCUGCAGCUAACGCAUUAAGCACUCCGCCUGGGGAGUACGGUCGCAAGACUGAAACUCAAAGGAAUUGACGGGGGCCCGCACAAGCGGUGGAGCAUGUGGUUUAAUUCGAAGCAACGCGAAGAACCUUACCAGGUCUUGACAUCCUCUGACAAUCCUAGAGAUAGGACGUCCCCUUCGGGGGCAUAGUGACAGGUGGUGCAUGGUUGUCGUCACCUCGUGUCGUGAGAUGUUGGGUUAACUCCCGCGAACGAGCGCAACCCUUGAUCUUACUUGCCGGCAGUCACUUGGGCACUCUAACGUGACUGCCGGUGACUAACCGGAAGAAGGUGGGGAUGACGUCGAAUCAUCAUGCGCACUUAGGACCUGGGUCUACACGGGAUGAUACAAUGGAGUUAACAAAGGGCAGCUGAAUUGACGAGGUUAAACCAAUCCCACAAAUCCUAUUCUCAGUGCCAGAUCGCCACUCUGCAACUCUAAGUGCGAUGACGCUGAACUCGAAUUAUAGUCGCGUGAUGGGCAUGCCAUGCGUGUAUCUGAUUCCCGGGCGUGUGUGCCCCCCGCCUCAUCACGCGGAGGGUCUUUGUAACGCGGGGAAAUCUGAUACGUAACAAUGUAUGAGGCAUUCCCCGUGUGUCGGACAGAUGAAUACAGCUGUAGUAGUAACAACGUAGCCGUAUCGGAAUGUACGACCUGGAUCAUCUCC